GGAGCUCCCCUGAGCCAUCUCCUUGUGUGCCCCAAACCUCACCUGGUGGAGGUGGGAGUUGUCAGCCUGCAGCAGGGAGGCUGGGAACCUUCCCCAGACCCAGGCUGCAUUGCUGAUUACAGUGGCAAAGGAACCUUCCUUCUCCUCCUCCUUCUUUCCCUCUUUUUCUUAAUUUAUUUUCCCUUCUUUUCCUUUUUCCAGGGUGCCAGAGGCCCUGAUGGACCAGUAGGCGAGCCGGGGUCACGAGGUGCCAAGGUGAGUGCCAGCUUGGCUGAGAUUGCUCUUAGCAACAUUAUGAAACACCAUGGACAGACCAAAGUCCCAUCCUCCUCCAGAAACUGGGGUUGUCCAAUGGCUCCAUGAGAACCAGCCAGCAGGAAUGAGUCCUCCACGCAGCCAGAGCAAAAUCUUCCUCCAAAGCAGCAUUUGCUCAAAAGGAUGUAGGUCAUGCAGCCCGUUGCCCAAAUUCCCCACAGGUUGUGGUGUUCCUCAGGGCAGGAUGCUGGGCACCUGGCCUUUCAAAAGCUGCAGGGAAUUGGUGUGGGUAUCUGAUGCAGAAAAACACAAGAGCAGGUGGGGUGAGGCAAAGAGCUUCACCAAUACAGCGUGUGUUGUCUUUUUGCCUUGCAGGGCCGUCCGGGGGAGCCAGGCAAGCUGGGGCCAGAAGGGCUGCAGGGGAAGAUGGGCGAGACUGGGGAGACAGGAUCACGUGGCUUCCCAGGUAUCCAAGGGCCUUCAGGACCUCCAGGAGCAAAAGGGGCACCAGGCGACCCGGCAAGUGUCUCACCAUUCUCUCUCCACCUGUCUCUCCAUGCACAUACACUCUUCAUUUCUUUCUCUGUCUGUUUUUCCCUACUACUAAUUCCCAUCUCCAUCCUGGCCAGUUCCAGUGUGGUCAGAGAUGUGAAAGACGUGACUUGAGUUCUAGGAGGCCUGAGGAAAGUUAAGGUCAGACCCCUAGAAAGGAAAAGGGGACUGUGGAUCAACCAGGGACAGUGUGGGAUACAGCCUGGGCUGGAUUUUGGAGGGGAAGGGAGGAAAGAAAUGCAAGGUUGGGUCUGGACGGGGUCAGAUGUAAUGAGAAGAGUUGGGCUGGGCUGAGGUGGGAACAGGAGGGAGUCUGACGGUGUCAAAACUGAGCCUGCAGCUUUGAGGGAGGCACUGGGAGAUGAAAUGUGCAGGCAGACCUGCAGGAGAGCCAGCAGGACCACUGAAACAAGGUGAGGGACCUUCUGCUGUCUGUGUCUGCGGGACUUUCCUAGACUGAAGGGAGAGGAUUAAGCAGAUACUUCCAGGUUACCAUCAGCGGUUGUUCUAGGUUGGAGCCAGAAAGGCGAAGGGCCUUCUGAGCUGUUGUUUGCCUGUUUUGAUGCCUCAGAGCACCCAUUACCGGUCCCUCCGUCUUGCUGGCCAUCUCUGGCACACUGCAUAGCUCUGCUGCGAGGUGGGAGGGAACCAGUGUUUUAUCUUACAGGCUGCAGAAAUGGUGGCCCUUCAGAAGGGAAAACAGUUGCAUGAAAAGAGCCUUGUGUCUCUGUUUUCCAGGGUCCACAAGGACCACAGGGGCCGCCUGGGCCUUUGGGAGAAAUCGGGCAUAAGGUAGGUCUGGUCUUUGCUCCUAUUUAUUUUCCCUUUACAUCGAGAGUGGCAGGACUGAGGGAGAAUCAAGGGUGCCGAGGUGAAACCUUUCACACCCAGGGACAUGAGCAGGAAGGAUUUCCCUCAAGUCUGAAUACCGACUUCCAAAGAAAACAGUGAGAGACAGAAAUCCGAGCAUCAUCUUCAUCUCAGGGCAUGGGCACCCCGCUGGUGGGUGGGCAGCCCCAUCUCCACAACAAGAGAAACAUUGCAAAGCUGGCCACCCCCCAGCACGCACACCUCAGGCGUGGCUCCACCACCACUCCAGGGACCACCUCUGUACCAGGGAGCAGAGUCAGAAACAAAAUAGAGCCUUCAAAAUAAAAACUGGUCUUUUCUGCCUCCCCCACUGGUCCCAUUUCUGACCAGGCACAGUUUUGUCAGCCAGCCUGGAUUGCUGCAGCACUCCCAUCAGAAGUCUGCAGCCAGUGGAAGGAGCUCAGAGAAACGCCUGCGCUGCUGACGGUGCUUUUUGGGUUGCUGUUGCCACGAAGCAGUGGCACAAACACACCAUAACCAAGGCAGCAGCAGCUGCCAAACAGUGCCCUGAUGCAGGAGAUGCCUCCAUGACUUGCCCCUAAUUCAUUCACAGUCUUGGCCUUAUUUGAUUCUCGUUGAAAUAUUAGAGUUUUGGCUGAUUAUACCAGGGUACCAGUCCCCUUGGGUAGCUCCUUCCACAGGUCCUGAGCUGUGAAGCAGCCAUGAGGUUUCGCUUGGUUGUGGAAACAGCAGCAAAGGUGCCUUUUAAUACAGUCUACUGCAAAGUAUAUGAGUCAGGAAAGUUUCCAUUCUCAUGGCUGCUAGACUGGAUGGAGCGAGCUCUCAGCGUGGUAAACCACACUGGGGAGCUGGAAAGCUGCUACCAAGCCUCUCUGGAUGCUGCCAACCAAGAAAGUACAGAGGUUUAUUCAAAUCUGUGUCUCUUCCAGGAGCCUUUCCCUGCACUGGCACUGCUGGGGAAACCAAAGCAGGAUUUUUGCUUUCAUUGGAGCUUGAGUUUUCUCUUUGCGUGACUUGACCAUUUGUUAAUAAACCCAGCACUCACCCUGCUCCCUCCUCUGCCCAAAUCCAUUUCAGCAAGCCAGGAACUGGCUUUAUUCCCUGUGCAGCCGAGUGCUCCCUUUGACUAUAUGCUCUUUUUUCCUUUAUUCCUAGCUGCAAAGAGAAGGGGGAUUGUUGUCCAGAAAGCAAGUAUUAUAAGAAAAUAAAGCCCUCAAAUCCCUUAAAGACAAGCUUUGCUGUCACAUCUUGGGGCUUGCUAUCCAGACUGUCAUUCCCCAUUCUUACCAGGAGUAGCAGAAAAUGUACAAAAAUUAAAGCUCCCAAUAGAUCUCGGCACCAAAGGUGUUUAAGGAAUUGUGGCCCCACGACUGCAAAGCUGCAAGUGGCAGCUGCACACCUAGUAUGAACGAUUUGCAAGAUCAUUCUCUCUUCUACCUUUUUAUACCUUAAUUUUCCAUACUUUGCAGCUCAGGCACUCAUUUUUGGCUGUCAGAGGGAUCCUGAGCCCCUCUGCCAGGGUUACCAGCAGAGGGUUGGAAGGAGUUACAGAGGAGCCUGGCAGAGGAGGCUGGGGGCGUGAGAGAAGAGCAGAGCCCCCGCAGGGACCAGGCACAAGGGGAUGCUGGCUUCUUUGAUGCUGCAUACCCUGAGCCAGCUCCGGGGAAGUAAUUACACUGCAACCAGGGCUGUGCUAUCCCAGGA
rnacentral:lncRNA from 1 species